rnacentral:rRNA from 1 species
GAUGAACGCUAGCGGCAGGCCUAAUACAUGCAAGGCGGAAGGGGCAGCAAUGUCACUGUCGUACGGGUGCGUAACGCGUAUGCAAACCUACCUAUCACAGGGGAAUAGCCUUUGGAAACAGGGAUUAAUACCGCAUAAAGCAGGGACACCGCAUGGUGAUAUUGCUAAAGAUUUAUCGGUGAUAGAUGGGCAUGCGUCUGAUUAGUUAGUUGGCAGGGUAACGGCCUACCAAGACGAUGAUCAGUAGGGGGCGUCAGAGCGUGGUCCCCCACACUGGCACUGAGAUACGGGCCAGACUCCUACGGGAGGCAGCAGUGGGGAAUUUUGGACAAUGGACGCAAGUCUGAUCCAGCCAUUCCGCGUGCAGGAUGAAGGCCCUCGGGUUGUAAACUGCUUUUGUACGGAACGAAAAGGUUUCUAUUAAUACUAGGAGCUCAUGACGGUACCGUAAGAAUAAGCACCGGCUAACUACGUG